rnacentral:rRNA from 1 species
UACGGAGGGUGCAAGCGUUGCUCGGAAUCAUUGGGCGUAAAGCGCCCGUAGGCGGUCCGGCAAGUCGGGUGUGAAAUCCCUCGGCUCAACCGAGGAAGUGCAUUCGAAACUUCCGGACUUGAAUAUGGAAGAGGGUCGCGGAAUUCCCGGUGUAGAGGUGAAAUUCGUAGAUAUCGGGAGGAACACCAGUGGCGAAGGCGGCGACCUGGGCCAAUAUUGACGCUGAGGUGCGAAAGCGUGGGGAGCAAACAGG